GAUUCUCAUGAGGUCCUGUCGGAGGCAAUUCUAUGUGACAAGGGAAAGGAUGAGGCCCAUCGAUUCACAAGAUUGGAUCAUCAACAGAUGAUAUGAUUUGAGCAGUGAAGUCGAAGGCUGCAGGAAUCUGGUUCCGUGAAUCCUGUCCUGUAUUGAAGAAAGGGAUCAAGGAAGUUAAACAAGAUGAAGAAGAACAGAAAGAGGAAAUAUUGGACUCAAGUCUCCUGCAUGGGCAUCUGAUCCAAGAAGCAGUCUGAGGAUGGGGUCUACAGAGGGCAGCGCUGGAGGGGCAAGAUCUUGGCACCACCCUAUUUCAUCAGACCUGCUGACGCUCAGGGAACCCAGCUGUGUUCACUCCAGCAUCCUAGAGAGUCCCUUUCCUCUGCUUCAGGUUCACUGUCCAGGGGAGUAGCCCCUGAAGGGCUGCUAAGACAAAUGUCCAGGGAAACUCAGUCCUGGAGGACAUUCAUGUAUACUAGAUAAUUGGGUGGGCUUGACUCCCUUUUCAGGUCUCUGGGGAAAGGGUGAAGAGGAGGCAAUCAGGGUAGGGCUUCUCCUGUGCAUCCUGUGGGCUCUGCAAAAGCCCUGGCAUUAGCUAGGGGACACUGCACCCUGCAAGCCUAUCUGUGAUUAAGUAGCAUACGGACAGCACACUCGGCAGAGGGCACCAGGCAGGUACCAGGGUUACCU